GAUAAGAUUAGCAUGUGCAAGUAUGACAUGCAAACAUCGAGAAACGGUCCAAAUAAGGUAGCCUCUCUUCUCCCUUCUCAAGGAACAGAGGAGAGAGGCAUCAGCAAUCGGAGGAGGGAGAUCUGCUCUCCUUCCUCUUGCGCGAACAGAGGAGGGAGAUAUGCUCUCUUUCUUCCAAGAUCGAAGAAGGAGCUCCCCUCUUCCCUCUUCUCAUCGGUGAAAGGGGGCCCGGCAACUUGAGCGAGGUUGCCUUGCUGAGGCCCUCUGCUCUCCUUCUUCCUCUCCUCAAGAGGAAAAGAGGCACGGGCGUUCCUCUUCUUCUUGUCGCUUGCGACGCCGUCCUUGGAGGGGAGGUGCUUCUCAGUCUUGUGCUUCUUCUCGGUGGGGGGCCUUCUCCGCCUUCCUCUCCUUCUCCUCUGUCGGCUUCUCGGCGGCAGGCUUCUUCACCGUAGGCUUCUUCUCGGCCUUGGAGGCAAUUAGGGAGUAGGCUUUCGGAAAGCAGGGAGGAGUUGCGUGCGCAGCAGAGAAGCGGCAACUUGAGCGAGAUCGCUUUGCGGAGUCGAGGCUGCGACCAGGGAGAUCGGGGACGCUCUGCUCUUUCAAGAUCGAAAACCUUCUGCGAUCGGCCACCCCCUUUUUCAUCUCCAUCGGCGAAGGGAGGAAGCGGAUUUCACCAUUGCUGCUGGGCGACGGUGGCGGCGGCUCUCCCAGACUGCUCUAGAAGAGAACGGCAACGGGAAGGCUGUGAUCGGUGGCGGCGGCUCUUCCAGAUCCCUUCUUCUCGGAGGAGGGGUUUGAUUCCAGCGGUCGGUGGUUCUUGCGAGUAGAGACUCUUCUUCUUUGUGGAAUAGAAGAGAGGGUUCGCGUAGGGAUUCUGCGCAGCCCCCUGCUCGCCAUCUUCCCCUUCUCACCGGAGGAACAAAGAAGAAGAGGAACCGCUGAGGCUGGUGGCUCUGCCUCUCUAUUUCGGGUGCCCUUCUUCUCAGAGGAGGUGUUAGGUGGAACAGCGGAGGAGCUUCCAUCUGUGCGCAGUCCUCUGUUCUUCUUCUCGGUGGAACAGAGCCCCUUAUUUCCCUUCUCAAACAGAGGAGAAGAGACAGAUCGGCAUCCAGCACGAACAGAGGAGGAGAGGUCUCUCAUCACCCUCCCUCUUCUUCCUGUUCUCGCCUCUCUACCAGCGGGAACAGAGAUUGCUAUAGGAAUAGAGAUUGUAACAGAAAAAGUAAACAAACUCAAGAAGUUUGUUUCUGCAGCCCUUUGCUCUCCGUCGAACAGAGGAAAAGAGGCUUCUCCCUUUUAUUUUUUCUUCAGGCGAAAGAGAUAGGAAGGAGCGGGAUCUCUUCUUCCUCUUCUCGCCACUCUGCCAGCGGGAAUAGAAGAGAAGGAAACUGCACGUUGUUCUCCUCCUAUUCUGCUCGGUGGAACAGAGAAGAGUUUCUUUAGGGGGCAGCAACUGCAUGCAGCCUCUCAACUCUCCUUCUUCCCCUUCUAAUAGAGUGUGCAGCCCUCCCAACGCUGCAGAGACAUGGCAAUAAUGGUCCAUGGGGUUGGCGACGGUGGCGAGAGGAUAGACUCGACGGCGAGGCCCCCUGAACUUACCUCUCAAGUUGCUCCUUCGUUAUCUUCUUUCCGACAAGAUGUUUUUUCGACGAAGCAGCAUCGAAGCAGGUCGUGCUCUAGAUCACGACCAAAUGCUCUGAUUUCUAGUGACCCUCAGCCUUGGACUCGCCUCUUCAAGGCUCCAGUUGAAAGUCCGGAUCUCGGAUUGGAUUUCUUCGCUCCAGAAGUUCAGGCUGAUAAGAAGAUUGCUGUAUAUGAAACUACUGAUUCUGCAGAACUGAUUAGGACAUGGUCUAUAGCGAUUGUUGGCUAUGUGGGUUCUGGACUAUUCGCGAUUGAUUCUACGACGUUGGUCUCCUGAUGUUCGUUUGGAAUUAAACAGCCUACAGUCUAUUCCUUUAUGGGUAUCCUUUCGAGGUCUUCCUCUACAUCUUUGGAGUCGACAUUUUAUUGCAAAGUUAUACAGCACCUUGGGACAACCACUCUAUAUUGACAAAGCAACAGCUACGCAAAUGAGAUUAGCAUUUGCCCGAGCAUGUGUACUGAUUUCUUCUUACGAAGAUCUUUCAAAUAAGGUUUUUUAUCGUGA